rnacentral:rRNA from 1 species
GACGAACGCUGGCGGCGUGCUUAACACAUGCAAGUCGAACGGAAAGGCCCUGCUUUUGUGGGGUGCUCGAGUGGCGAACGGGUGAGUAACACGUGAGUAACCUGCCCUUGACUUUGGGAUAACUUCAGGAAACUGGGGCUAAUACCGGAUAGGAGCUCCGGCUGCAUGGGGGGGGUUGGAAAGUUUCGGCGGUUGGGGAGGGACUCGCGGCUUAUCAGCUUGUUGGUGGGGUAGUGGCUUACCAAGGCUUUGACGGGUAGCCGGCCUGAGAGGGUGACCGGCCACAUUGGGACUGAGAUACGGCCCAGACUCCUACGGGAGGCAGCCGUGGGGCAUCUUGCCCCAUGGGCGGCAGCCUGCUGCAGCAACGCCGCGUGCGGGAUGACGGCCUUCGGGUUGUAAACCGCUUUCGCCUGUGACGAAGCGUGCGUGACGGUAAUGGGUAAAGAAGCACCGGCUAACUACGUG